rnacentral:rRNA from 1 species
AGAGCGAACGCUGGCGGCAUGCUUAACACAUGCAAGUCGCACGGGCAGGGGAAACCCUGUCAGUGGCGGACGGGUGAGUAACGCGUAGGUAUCUAUCCUUGGGUGGGGGACAACGGCUGGAAACGGCUGCUAAUACCGCAUGAUGACCGAGGUCUAAAGGCGCAAGUCGCCUGGGGAGGAGCCUGCGUACGAUUAGCUUGUUGGUGGGGUAAAGGCCUACCAAGGCUACGAUCGUUAGCUGGUCUGAGAGGAUGAUCAGCCACAUUGGGACUGAGACACGGCCCAAACUCCUACGGGAGGCAGCAGUGGGGAAUAUUGGACAAUGGGCGCAAGCCUGAUCCAGCAAUGCCGCGUGUGUGAAGAAGGUCUUCGGAUUGUAAAGCACUUUCGACGGGGACGAUGAUGACGGUACCCGUAGAAGAAGCCCGGCUAACUUCGUGCCAGCAGCCGC